GGUGAACGCUGGCGGUGUGCCUAACACAUGCAAGUCGAACGACCGCACGAUAAGAUUUUUCUCUUGCUGUUAGCGACUGGCGGGCGGGUGAGACGUGCAUCAGAUUCUUCUUUUUCUUGGAGGAUUACGUAGGGCAGCUUACGCUAAUGCCUCAUACUUUCUACGGCUUGAAUCAAAGGUUCUUCGCGGCUUUCGCGUUUGUAUUAGCCGGUGUCGGAUUAGCUUGUUGGCUGGGUAAGGGCCCACCAAGGCAACGCUCCGUAGCAGGUCUGAGAGGAUGAUCAGCCACACUGGAACUGAGACACGGUCCAGACUCCUACGGGAGGCAGCAGUGGGGAAUAUUGGGCAAUGGGCGAAAGCCUGACCCAGCCAUACCGCGUGAGUGAAGAAGGCCUUCGGAUUGUAAAGCCCUGUUGUUGGGAAAGAAAAGCUGUAUGUGAAUACCCCGACGUUCUGACGGUACCUAAAGAAUAAGCACCGGCUAACUUCGUG
rnacentral:rRNA from 1 species